GCGCGCGUAGGCGGCGUGUCACGCCGGGUGUGAAAGCCCCGGGCUCAACCUGGGAACGGCAUCCGGAACGGGCAGGCUAGAGUGCAGGAGAGGAAGGUAGAAUUCCCGGUGUAGCGGUGAAAUGCGUAGAGAUCGGGAGGAAUACCAGUGGCGAAGGCGGCCUUCUGGACUGACACUGACGCUGAGGUGCGAAAGCGUGGGUAGCAAACAGGAUUAGAUACCCUGGUAGUCCACGCCGUAAACGAUGUCGACUAGCCGUUGGGUCCCUUGAGGACUUAGUGGCGCAGUUAACGCGAUAAGUCGACCGCCUGGGGAGUACGGCCGCAAGGUUAAAACUCAAAUGAAUUGACGGGGGCCCGCACAAGCGGUGGAGCAUGUGGUUUAAUUCGAUGCAACGCGAAGAACCUUACCUACCCUUGACAUCCUGCGAACCCGGAAGAGAUUCCGGGGUGCCUUCGGGAGCGCAGAGACAGGUGCUGCAUGGCUGUCGUCAGCUCGUGUUGUGAAAUGUUGGGUUAAGUCCCGUAACGAGCGCAACCCUUGUCCCUAUUUGCCAGCGAUUCGGUCGGGAACUCUAGGGAGACUGCCGGUGACAAACCGGAGGAAGGUGGGGACGACGUCAAGUCAUCAUGGCCCUUACGGGUAGGGCUACACACGUGCUACAAUGGCCGGUACAAAGGGUUGCGAAAGCGCGAGCUGAAGCCAAUCCCGAAAAGCCGGUCUCAGUCCGGAUCGGAGUCUGCAACUCGACUCCGCGAAGUCGGAAUCGCUAGUAAUCGUGCAUCAGAAUGGCACGGUGAAUACGUUCCCGGGCCUUGUACACACCGCCCGUCACACCAUGGAAGUGGACUGCACCAGAAGUGGUUAGCUUAACCUUCGGGAGAGCGAUCA
rnacentral:rRNA from 1 species